UACGUAGGCAGCAAGCGUUGUUCGGAAUUACUGGGCGUAAAGAGUGUGUAGGCGGUGCUCCAAGUCUGGUGUGAAAUCUCCCGGCUCAACUGGGAGGGUGCGCUAGAAACUGGAAUGCUAGAGGAUGGGAGAGGAGAGUGGAAUUCCUGGUGUAGCGGUGAAAUGCGCAGAUAUCAGGAAGAACACCCGUGGCGAAAGCGGCUCUCUGGAACGGUACUGACGCUGAGACGCGAAAGCGUGGGGAGCGAACAGG
rnacentral:rRNA from 1 species